rnacentral:rRNA from 1 species
GAGACAGCAGUCGCGCGGUAAUACAGAGGGUGCGAGCGUUAAUCGGAUUUACUGGGCGUAAAGCGUGCGUAGGCGGCUUCUUAAGUCGGAUGUGAAAUCCCUGAGCUUAACUUAGGAAUUGCAUUCGAUACUGGGAAGCUAGAGUAUGGGAGAGGAUGGUAGAAUUCCAGGUGUAGCGGUGAAAUGCGUAGAGAUCUGGAGGAAUACCGAUGGCGAAGGCAGCCAUCUGGCCUAAUACUGACGCUGAGGUACGAAAGCAUGGGGAGCAAACAGGAUUAGAUACCCCGGUAGUCCCUGUCUCUUAUACA